GGAAGGUUGGCUGAGAGGUUGAUAGCACCACACCGCUAACGUGGCAUACGGAAACGUAUCGGGGGUUCGAAUCCCUCACCUUCCG
rnacentral:tRNA from 1 species